AGCUCCAAUAGCGUAUAUUUAAGUUGUUGCAGUUAAAAAGCUCGUAGUUGGAUUUCGGGUGUGAACGACCGGUCCGCCGUUUCGGUGUGUACUGGUCGGUUGCUCCUUUUUGCCGAGGACGUGGUUCUGGCCUUAAUUGACUGGGACACGGAGUCGGCAGCGUUACUUUGAGAAAAUUAGAGUGUUCAAAGCAGGCUAUCGCUCUGAAUACUACAGCAUGGAAUAACACGAUAGGACUCCGAGCCUAUUUGUUGGUCUUCGGGACCGGAGUAAUGAUUAAGAGGGACAGUUGGGGGCAUUCGUAUUCCGAUGUCAGAGGUGAAAUUCUUGGAUUAUCGGAAGACGAACAUCUGCGAAAGCAUUUGCCAAGGAUGUUUUCAUUAAUCAAGAACGAAAGUAG
rnacentral:rRNA from 1 species